rnacentral:sRNA from 2 species
GGCGUCGAAGGAUCGACGCCGGCCGACCAAGGAUGGCGGCUAGGGACAGUCGCAGGAUAGCGACUUCAUCAGGAUGAUGGGCCCAAGGAUGUGGCGAAUGACGUUAAGCGGCGAGGCUAAUCCCUCGCCGUUUUU